rnacentral:rRNA from 1 species
GACGAACGCUGGCGGCGUGCUUAACACAUGCAAGUCGAACGAAGUGGCGAACGGGUGAGUAACGCGUAAUUAACCUGCCCUUCAGGGGGGGACAACAGUUGGAAACGACUGCUAAUACCGCAUAUUGAAUGAGGGGUUUGCGUCGGAUUAGCUAGGUGGAGGGGUAACGGCCCACAAAGGCGAUGAUCAGUAGCCGGUCUGAGAGGUAGAACGGCCACAUUGGGGAUGAGACACGGCCCAGACUCCUACGGGAGGGAGCAGGGGGGAAUCUUCCGCAAAGGACGGAAGUCUGACGGAGGAACGCCGCGUGAGUGAUGACGGCCUUCGGGUUGUAAAGCUCUGUUAAUCGGGACGCGGUACCGGAAUAGAAAGCCACGGCUAACUACGUGCCAGCCGCCGCGGUAAUAC